GAUGAACGCUGGCGGCGUGCCUCAAACAUGCAAGUCGAGCGGGGCUAUGUAAUAUCGCAAGGUAGAACAUAGCCUAGCGGCGAACGGGUGAGUAACACGUGGGUAACCUGCCUGGAAGACAGGGAUAACGAUUCGAAAGGGUCGCUAAUACCUGAUAAUAUCCUUUCAUCGCAUGGUGAUAGGAAGAAAGGGGAAACCCGCUUUCAGAUGGGCCCGCGUCCCAUCAGCUAGUUGGUAAGGUAAAGGCUUACCAAGGCGACGACGGGUAGCCGGUCUGAGAGGAUGUACGGCCACACUGGGACUGAGAUACGGCCCAGACUCCUACGGGAGGCAGCAGUUGGGAAUCUUAGGCAAUGGACGAAAGUCUGACCUAGCGACGCCGCGUGAGGGAAGAAGGCCUUGGGUUGUAAACCUCUGUCAUGGGGAAGAAGUAAGUGACGGUACCCCGAAAGGAAGCCCCUGCUAACUACGUG
rnacentral:rRNA from 1 species